CUCAUCGUCUCCGGGAAAUUUAGGGUUAGGGAUGGUGCGCAUUCUACCAAGGAAUGGCGGAUUCUAGGCGCGCCUCCUCGCAAUUCGUCGACGAUGCCCGACCGAUGAGCUGAAUUCGCAGGAAUCGAGGCGUCGGCGGCGGCGACGCCAAAUCGGGGGUCGUGAAUCGGGGGCUAUGUAGCAGCGCGCUAGUGUUCUUGCAGGAUUCUUGUGAUUCCAGCUAGGGUAUAGGCGCGCAAUCAUCAUGAGCGGGAGGAUUCCGGUCCAUGGAUGCAGUCGAAAAUGUGCUGCAUGGGAUUGUGGGAGCUCUGAGCGCAUGGAUUCCGGGCGGCGGUGCUGGAGCCGGGGAUUCUAGCAUGUCCCGCGAGUUUUGGAUGCCCGAUCAGAGCUGCCGUGUCUGCUAUGAGUGUGAAUCGCAUUUUACGAUCUUCAACCGGCGCCAUCACUGCAGGGUUUGCGGGAGAGUCUUCUGCGGCAGGUGCACGCUCAAUACCAUCUCGGCUUCGUCGAUCAAUCUCGCGCCUCCAGAGGCGCCGGAGGAGGAUUGCGAGCGCAUCCGGGUGUGUAAUUUUUGCUACAGGCUUAGGCAGCAGCAGCUGGGCAAAGGGGAUUCUUCUUCUCUGGAGCCGGCGGUGACGAGCCCGUCUCUCACUCCAACGUCGUCUAGGAGUAGUUUGAUUAGCAGUAACACCAGCGGUAGCACGUCCAUGGCUUCCCCUCGAGCGGCGCUGGCUUCUUCCGAGAGGCGAGGUGACGAGAGCGAUGACUUAAAGCAAGAAGAGUAUGGCAAACAUUUGUCGUUAAGCAUGAGGAGCGAUGAUGAAGACGAAGGGAGGAAAGGACGCCAACAAAACCAUAUAUCUCGCGGUAAUCAAGACGGUGGUCUGGAUACGCAUCUCAAAAGCCAAGCUAGCUACUACUCGCAGAGCUCCGAGAGCUUCGAUGACAAGGGGGAUACGUCCGAGAGCAGGCCGCCCAGCGAGAGGUCGUUCCGGCGUUCGUGCGAUGAUAUUGAAAGCUUGGAUGACGAGAACAAUUUCCGGAACCAUCUCUACGAGGCCGCGUGUCGGGAGGUCGAUAAGUCGGUGGACUUUGAGAAUAACAAGCAUGUCUGGUACCCUCCACCACCGGAAGAAGACGAGGACGAAACGGGACCUGGAUACGAGGACGAGGACGACGACGAUGAAGGUGGCUGGGGUCUUCCACGGUCGUCCGGAAGUAUGAGCAGCACUGAGUAUAGGAGCCGGGAACGCGCUGCUUCGGAAGAACAUCGAAAGGCCAUGCGAGCCGUAGUUGACGGUCACUUCAGAGCUCUGGUGGCACAACUCCUUCGCGGUGAAAACAUUUCCGUCGAUGAUGAAGAUGAGAAGGAUAGCUGGCUUGACAUCGUCACUGGAUUGGCUUUGCAAGCAGCAAGCAUCGUCAAACCAGAUAGCAGCAGGGGAGGUAGCAUGGAUCCGGGAGGCUACGUGAAGGUGAAAUGCAUCGCAUCUGGUCGGCGGUCCGACAGCAUGAUCAUCAAAGGUAUUGUUUGCAAAAAGAACCUUGCACAUAAGAGGAUGAUUACGCGGUUUAAGAAUCCGAGGCUGCUUAUUAUUGGUGGUGCGCUGGAGUAUCAGAGAGUUUCGAACCAGUUUUCGUCGAUGGACACUCUACUCCAACAGGAAAGGGACUACCUGAACAUGGCUGCGGCAAGGAUCGAGGCUCAGCAUCCCAAUGUCGUGCUCGUUGAGAAAGGAGUAACUCGUUUUGCGCAAGACCGUUUACUGGCGAAAGAAAUAUCGCUGGUGCAGAAUGUUAAGCGUCCUCUUCUGGAGAGGAUUGCGAGAUGUACUGGUGCUCAAAUCAUAUCCACACCAGAUAAUCUCGCGGCACCAAAGGCUGGUCACUGCGAGCUUUUCCACAUUGAGAAGUUUGUAGAGGAGCUCGGUAGUGCUGGCCAAGCAGGCAAGCAACUGUCCAAGACACUGAUGUUCUUUGAAGGAUGUCCAAAACCUCUCGGAUGCACUGCUUUACUGAGGGGCGCUAAUGGAGACGAUCUGAAGAAAAUUAAACGUGUUCUUCAGCUCUCUGUCUUUGCAUCCUAUCAUUUGGCUUUGGAAACAUCAUUUCUUGCCGACGAAGGUGCCUCUCUCCCCGACCACAGGUCGCCUAUAGUCGUCACGCUGCCUAGCAAGCAAUCCAGCUCCGACCGGUCGAUCACAUCGAUCCCCGGUUUUUCAGUAGCGACCGCAGAAGGUCAACGUGUUCCUCCAGUUUCUCCUUCUACACUCACCAGCAAAGGUGCGGAGACGAAUAAUACGUUGAUGCACUCAGCAGGUCUAAAUGGCUUUACAAGGGAUUGGCAGUCGAGUUUAUCAGAUUUUACUGGGGAAAGUCUUUCCGGGUUAUCAGUUUCUCUGAGAAGAGCCUUCGGUGAGGAGGCAAUGAGAACCAAUGCAGAACAAUGGAACGUAUCUGCUGACAGGUCUCCAAAGGAAAAUGCGGAGUCAUUUUUUUUGCAAGAAGGUGAUAGAGAAGGAUCAGACGCAGAUGAACAGAGUGGAAAAGACGAUUUCCCUCCAACGCCCUCCGACCACCAAAGUAUUCUCGUAUCGCUGUCAACACGGUGUCUCACCAAGGGAUCUGUUUGUGAACGGCCCAACAUAGUUCGGAUAAAGUAUUACGGAAACUCGGACAAGCCACUGGGAAGAUUUUUGAGAGACACCUUGUUCGACGGCAACAAUCGCUGCCAACAUUGUGAUGAACCCGCCGACGCACACAUUCGCUGUUAUACCCAUCGCUUGGGUAGUCUGACGAUCUCAGUUCGACGGAUGGACGACCAUACUUUACCUGGUGAAAGAGAUGGAAAAAUAUGGAUGUGGCAUAGGUGCUUAAAGUGUCCUCGGACUGACGAUCUUCCGCCGGUGACUCGUAGAAUCGUGAUGUCUGAUGCCGCCUGGGGUUUAUCGUUCGGAAAGUUUUUGGAACUGAGCUUCUCUAAUCAUGCAGCUGCUAGCAGAGUCGCUGUAUGUGGCCACCAACUUCACAGAGAUUGUUUACGAUUUUACGGGUUCGGCAAUAUGAUAGCGUGCUUUCGCUAUGCUUCUGUUCAUUUGCAUUCAAUUCAUCUUCCUCCUCCAAAGUUGGAGUUUAACGAUCCGAGCCAACAGGAGUGGCUCAGGGACGAAGCUAAUGAGGUACAUUGUUGUUUAAAGACGAUUUGGCUUUUAACAUAUGACGUUAAGAUUGCCAACAAGGGAGAGCUGGUUUUCACGGAAAUACUGGAUCAUUUACGUGUUAUUGGCGAACAUAUUGCCAGCUCGGGCUCCUUUUCUGGAAGCGGAAGAAACGCCGAAGCUAGAAAACGUGCUGUGUACUUGGAAGCGUUCUUCCAAAAAGAAAAGGCCGAGUUUGAGAAGACACUGUUGAAAGCUGUUCCAUCACAUACUGAUCCAGGACAGCCAGUCGCAGACAUUCUGGAGCUCUGUCGUCUGCGAAAGGACCUUGCUCUCCGGGCCAUGGAGUGGGAUAAACGUCUUCAUUACUUUGCUGCCUCUCAGCAGCGAAAGUAUACGUCAGCAGGUUCAGAUCCGGGGAUGCUACCUGACCAGCCUGUCCCGAGCAAGGACGCGUCUGUGAAGCCAAUAUUGAAGACAUACUCAAAUACGAAUGUGCAACCAUUUGCUUCGCUUGUCCACGACGAAGAAGCGGACAAACCAACUUCCGUCAAAGACGAUACAGUCGUGGUACAUGAUAUGGUUUGCAACAUGGAUAUGGUGGACGGCAUUCCUUGUUUGCCUGUGGCUCCUGCCGAGCCAGAGGGUACCGAAGGGGUUACAGAGGCACUUGGUUUGGAUGUAGACCUCAGGAGGACACUCUCUGAAGGCAGUUGUCCGGUUGUCGCCGAUAUCUCUCAUACGCUAGAUGCUGCAUGGAGUGGCGAGACACAAGCAGCUACAGAGGUUCCAUGCAAUGCGGAAGACCAUGAAAGCGCCAAAGCCUCCGAGGCAGAAGUUACUGGAGAGAAUGGAAGUAAGAAGGAGCACUCACCUACGAGCUCGACAAGCCAACCCGAUGAAGAGUUAACAGCGUCACGGCAAAAGGAGUUUGACGAGCUCGGCAACUGGAUUGAUGGACCAUACUCGACGUUAUACAGGGGUAGAGGGGCUUCAAGUCAGUCGCCGUCAACCUCUUUUAUAUCCCAGCAGGCUUUACAAGGUGGAGCACGGCUUUUCUGGCCACCUGGUGUGAAUGGCACCGUGAAUGCGGUUUACGAAGACGAGCCUACGAGUAUCAUCGCUCAUGCACUUUUGUCGCAAUACUACGUGACCGAGCUCGGUGGAGAGAAAGGGAAGGGACAAAGUGGAGAAAAAGAGAAUGGAAGUGCGGUGGUGUCUGAGGAAGCGUCCUCACAAGUUCUCGAAGAAGGGGUCAUGAAGGAGAGGUCCAACAGCUUCAAAGACGCUUCUUCAAAUGGGAAGGUUGAGGAUCCUUUAUUGAGCACAAAGGGGGUGAACUUGAAGAUCGAGAACUCUGAGACAGGUCCGGAUGCGAAGCUGAAAUACAUCGUCACCGCCUACUACGCCAAGCACUUCGAUGCGCUGCGGAAGAAAUGCUGCGCUGGUGACUUGGAGUUCGUGCGGUCGUUGAGCAGGUGCCGCAAAUGGGGAGCACAGGGUGGAAAGAGCAACGUCUUUUUUGCCAAGUCGAUGGACGACAGAUUCAUCGUGAAGCAAGUGACGAGGACGGAGCUUCUCUCUUUCCUGGAGUUUGCACCGGAGUACUUCAAAUAUCUCUUCGAUUCCAUAAACUCUGGCAGCCCGACCUGUCUGGCUAAGAUUCUGGGGAUGUAUCAGGUGAUCAUAAAGCAAGUCAAGGGAGGCAAGGAAGUACGCAUGGAUUUGAUGGUCAUGGAGAAUCUGCUCUAUGGCAGACACGUUACUCGGCUAUAUGAUUUGAAAGGCUCAGUGCGCUCUCGUUACAACUCAGACUCCACGGCAAAGAACGCUGUUUUGUUGGACCAGAACCUGUUGGAAUCCAUGCCAACGGCACCCAUUUUUGUCGGGAAUAAAGCCAAGAGGCUUUUGGAGCGAGCGGUAUGGAACGACACCUCAUUCCUUGCGAACAUAGAUGUCAUGGACUACUCGCUACUCGUUGGGAUUGACGAAGAACGAGGGGAGCUUGUCCUCGGGAUUAUUGACUUCAUGCGGCAAUACACAUGGGACAAGCAUCUGGAGACGUGGGUCAAGGCUUCGGGCAUUCUCGGAGGCCCAAAGAACGCGCCGCCGACCGUGAUCUCUCCCAAGCAGUACAAGAAGCGCUUCCGCAAGGCCAUGUCGACGUACUUCGUUACUGUUCCCGACCACUGGACUCCUCCCUCGGUCAUCAGCGCUUGUCCGGGGCCGGAGGAGAGUGGAAGCAGCAGCCACAACAAUGGGAGCUCCACCACAAACGGGCAGGACGAGUACGGUGAAAGCUUUGGAGGCUGAGCGGAGCUCCGGGCUAUCCAUCCAUCGAUCUACCGAUCGACCGGCUUCCUGGAAUGAAUCUUCAUAAUCUACAAAGUCCUUGUUCCUCGUAUAUGGAUUCGCAUGCCAUAUGCUGUUGUUUCCCAACUUCCGCCACUUCAGAUUUCUCACGAGUAACAAGUGGAACUGUGCCGCCUGCGAAAAUUUGUAAGACCUGUUCUUCGCUCUUUGAAAUUGUUGAAAAAGUACAUUCGACGAACUUGCAGCAUCAAACUCGUUGAAUGAGAUCAUCACAAUCACAAUCACAUUCAUCUAUGCAAAAAGUGCAGUAACGAAGGGGUGGUUCGGAAAACACCCUGCACGGAGGGAAGAGCAGCUGUCCACGUUGGAAUAUGCUUCUUGUUCAAAAAUGAAAAUGAACUAUGAAAUUG